GUAUGUUUGGGCUUACUUCGGAGAGAGUGGGGCGGAGGUGAAUAAGAUUUCAUAGAGGUGCGGGAUCUCCUUCCGGUCAUCACUUGGUCCAAGACGAAUUAGCAUUGGCGGAGUCGAACCAUGUAAAUUCUUGGGUACAUGUGUCAGCUGAUAGAGGAUAGAUAAGAAGAAGUAUCCAGAUUGACCCUGGCGGCUUCAAAUACCGGAUAACAGUGAACUAUACUGAGUACAACCUACAAUCAAGUAUAACAAAAUAUAGCAUGCAUUCGUAAGCUUUGACGCAAUUGAACAAGUGUAUAAAGAGCACAGAAAAGAAAAACUACACUACAAAAGUCAACGAAUCGGAGGCAGAAAUGGUCGAGCUCUUAACACACGCGAGAUGGAGAUGGCUUGGGGCAUUUCUCUGCUUACUUGCUCUCACCAAAGGACUGCAAGAUUUUAAUUUUCCAAAUACUGACCAUUACCUUAUGAGUGUGUUUCCAGAGGGAAAGGGAGUUUACGAUUGUUCCAAUCAAAAUCAUCUGCAAUUCCUUAUGAAACUUCAACCGACCUGUCUGUUUUGCUACCAGAGAUCGGGAGACUUGCAUGAUAUUGACAUCCGUAACGGCACUUGUAAGCAUUUUGGAUUUGGAUGUAGUAGAAAAUGUUGUCAAGGAAUAAUACGAAAUGUACACAUUCCAGCCAUAUCGAAGACUUUGCCCAUCGUGACGUCAUGUGCCUGUGGUUCUUGCUCUGAAGAUUUGGAGGACGUCUCCUUGCUGUCCUUCAUGCGGUCCAUGGGCAAAGGAAAUGGUGACAUUUUUAUGAACAAACUGGCGUCGAAUUUCGGAAAGAAAUUCUUCUAGUCGCUUAUAAUUGAAAACAUUAGAUACGAUUUAUUUUGUCAGAUAAUAUAAAUCCUGUAAGUAAAUAAAUGUAUAGAUAAAAAGAAGAUAUUUGUCAUUUCUAUGCUAUUAGACGAUGCAAAUAUACAUGAAUCGAAGUUUGAGGCAUGCAGUUGAAAAGUUUUCAAAAGCAGAUACGACCGUGUAAAACGUUGCAAUAUCAUACAAAUCUUGAUUUAUAUGCAAAAGUCUUGAUUGAUAUUAAAUAAUCUUGUUAUUCAUAUGCGAAAAUCUUGAUUUAAUUUCGAUAAUCUUGUUAUUUAUAUGUGAACAUUUUUAUGUAUAUUCGAAAAUCUUGAUAUUUACCAGUGUAUAUGUGAAAAUGAUGUAUGCGAAUUCUUUUAUUUUUUAAUUAUUUCUAUACGAUAAAUCUUGAUUUAUAUUCGAUAAUCGUGUUCAAUUUAUCGAAUAUGAAUAACAAGAUUAUCGAAUAUAAAUCAAAAUUUAUCGCACAUAAAUAUCAAGAUUAUGGAAUAUCGAUCAAGAUUUAUCGAAUAUGAAUAAAUAAUGGAACAUAAAUACAGAACAAGAUUAUCGCAUAUCAAUAAAAAAAAAUAUCGACUAUGAUCAUGGCGAGUAAAACGUUGCAAUAUUUUACAAAUCUUGAUUUACCUAUGUACUAUUAAGUGCAGAAAUUUUGAUGAUUUGUAUUCGAUAAUCUUGACAUCUACAUUGCAUAUACGAAAUUUUUUUAUUUAUAUUUGAUAAUCUUGAUAUUUAAACCGUAUAUUCAAUUUUUGAUAUCAUAUGUGCUAAAUCUUGAUUUAUAUUCGAUACUCUUGUUAUUUAUAUUCAAUAAUCUUGUCAUAAACAUGUAUAUUCAACAAUCUUGAUAUUUAUAUUUGAUAAAUUUUGAAAUCAAAAUUUUUGCAUAUACAUGUACAUGUAGAUAUCAAGAUUAUCGAAUAUAUAUGAAAAUUCAUCGAAUAUAAAUGACAAGAUUAUCAGAUUAUAUAUGAAACUUGAUAAAAAAAAAAAAAAAAAAACCCAACAUUACGACUAUUUCAAAAACUGCGAAUUCUCCGACAGGAAAGAAAACAAAAUGUAUAUGGACUUUUAGUCCCCGAGGGUCUCUACAGCCCAGUAGCUAAGUACUUCGUUACUAGUUUGAACUUUUUUGGCACUCUGUUUUUCCCUGGAGUGGCUGUUAGGGCUUACAAGUUUACCGUUAUUUCGGAUUUCAAAAAUUUCGGUUGAGCAUCACUGAAGAGACAUUAUUUGACGAGAUGCGCAUCUGGUACAUCAAUUAAGAUUAGACAAAAACGUCUUUAACGGUUUCAUUUGACAAAACUUACCAAGUGGGUGGAAGGAAACGUCGGAGUCCGUAGCCCCGUUUAGUUUCUCAGUGACUUCCAUCAAUUUGUUUACCAAAUCUCGCAGUGAAGGAGGGACAUUCCUUAUGGAAGGCGUGGCUGUAUCGAAGUCUUCUUCAGGGUACAGAAUUCCACACUUCACAUUCAAAAUGCUGCAAACGACCAGCAGUAACACGCUGAAGCCUUUCUGCAAGUUCAUGGUUCUGUGAAAGCUGUGCGUUAUUGGAAUGAAACAUUCGAUAUGGAUAAAAUGUCACUCGUGUCAUUUUAUAUAUACUGUGGGUCACAUCAUACGAUGUACCUGCAUGAGGUAACCAAACGCACGUAUUUAUGAACUACAGGCAUUGCACGUGUGACGCCUAUCCAGCUAUGUUGUCAUAUCUUUUUUUCUGUAAAAUAUGGCAUUUCUUCAUGGUUUUCCAUUAAAGUCAUGUACCUACUUACA